rnacentral:lncRNA from 1 species
CCACGGUUCAAAAGCAUCACUUCUUUGGUGCUCAACUUUCUUUAUAGAUCAACUCUCACAUCCAUACAUGACUACUGGAAAAACCAUAGCUUUGACUAGACGGAUAUUUGUUGGCAAAGUAAUGUCUCUGCUUUUUAAUAUCCUGUCUAAGUUUGUCAUAGCUUUUCUUCCAAGGCUUUUCUUUCUUCACCCAAAGAUGAGCACAAUAAUGGAUAGAAAUGCUACAGAGCCUAGUAGACACUGAAGAGAUCAAGAAGAGAUGGAAAGAAUAUAUGGAAGAACUGUACAAAAAGAUCUUAACGAACUGGAUUACUAUGAUGAUGUGGUCAGUCACCCAGAGCCAGACAUUCUGGAGAGUGAAGUCAAGCAGGCCUUCGGAAGCACUGCUGUUAAUACAGCUAGUGGAUGUGGUGGAAUUCCAAUAGAGCUAUUCAAAACCCUAAAGGAUGAUGUCAUCAAGGUGUUGCAUUCAAUAUGUCAGCAAGUCUGGAAGACCCAGCAGUGGCCACAGGACUGGAAAAGGUCAAUCCUCCUCUCAAUUUCCAAGAAGGGUAGUACAAAAGAAUGUGCUAACCAUUGGACAGUUGCAUUCAUCUCCCAUGCUAGUAAGGUCAUGCUUAAAAUCUUGCAUGCUAGGCUUCAACACUAUGCAAACCAAGAACUUCCAGAUGUCCAGGCUGGGUUUAGAAAAGGAAGAGGAACCAGAGAUCAAAUUGCUAACAUUCACUGGAUCAUAGAGAAAGCAAAGGAAUUUCAGAAAAACAUCUACUUCUGUUUCAUUAACCAUGCUAAAGCCUUUGACUGCAUGGAUCAUAACAAACUGUGGAGAGCUCUUAAAGAGGUGGGAAUAGCAGACCAUUUUACCUGUCUUCUGAGAAACCUGUAUGCAGGUCAAGAAUCAACAGUUAGAACCCUGUGUGGAACAAUGAUUGGUUUAAGAUUGAGAAAGCAGUAUGACAGGGCUGUCUGCUGUCACCUUGUUUGUUUAGCCUAUAUGCUGAGCGCAUCAUGAGAAAUGCUGGGC